rnacentral:rRNA from 1 species
UACGGAGGGGGCUAGCGUUGUCCGGAUUUACUGGGCGUAAAGAGCGCGUAGGCGGCUCGUUAAGUGAGAAGUGAAAGCUCUGGGCUCAACCCAGAAACCGCUUUUCAUACUGGCAAGCUGGAGUGAUGCAGAGGUGGAUAGAAUUCCCGGUGUAGCGGUGAAAUGCGUUGAUAUCGGGAGGAAUACCCGUGGCGAAGGCGGUCCACUGGGCAUCAACUGACGCUGAGGCGCGAAAGCGUGGGUAGCAAACAGG